GACGAACGCUGGCGGCGUGCUUAACACAUGCAAGUCGAACGGAAAGGCCCUGCUUUUGUGGGGUGCUCGAGUGGCGAACGGGUGAGUAACACGUGAGUAACCUGCCCUUGACUUUGGGAUAACUUCAGGAAACUGGGGCUACUACCGGAUAGGAGCUCCUGCUGCAUGGUGGGGGUUGGAAAGUUUCGGCGGUUGGGGAUGGACUCGCGGGUUAUCAGCUUGUUGGUGGGGUAGUGGCUUACCAAGGCUUUGAAGGGUAGCCGGCCUGAGAGGGUGACCGGCCACAUGGGGACUGAGAUACGGCCCAGACUCCUACGGGAGGCAGCAGGGGGGAAUAUGGCACAAUGAGCGGGAGCCUGAGGCAGCGACGCCGGGUGCGGGAUGACGGCCUUCGGGUUGUAAACCGCUUUCGCCUGUGACGAAGCGGGAGUGACGGUAAUGGGUGAAGAAGCACCGGCUAACUACGUG
rnacentral:rRNA from 1 species